AACAAUGGAGCCAGGUGAUCAGAAGCAGCACUCAGCAAUCAGAGCACAGAUCCCCCAUAUUUGUAGAACAGGGUCCUUUUUGCCCUCCUUGGCUUCCACAAGCUGUGUGCAAGCUGCUCCAGGAAUACAUAACUAACUAUCCCAGGACUGGAGACUGUUUGGUGGGCUCGUCACUUGGAUGCAAGUGAAAUUUUGGUGCCGUGACUCGGAUUGGGAGACCUCCCUUGGGAGAUCAAUCCCGUCCUCCUGCUCUUUGCUCCAUGAGAAAGAUCCACCUACAAUCUCGGGUCCUUAGACUGACCAGCCCAAGGAACAUCUCACCAAUUUUGAAUCAGUACCCUGCUGAAAAUUGGACUAUUCAACUCACCUGGAAGCCACUUCCAGAACCCCUGGAACUCUGGCCCAAGGCUCUCUGACUGACUCCUUCCCAGAUCUUCUCGGCUUAGCAGCUGAAGACUGACACUGCC